UUGAACAGUAGCCUUAUAACAUAAUUUUUGAUCUUGAAUUUAGAACAGUUUUAAUCCCAGUUCUUCGUGUACGUGGCAUUACGGGAUUUGUUGGGAAUUUUUUGCAAUCGGGAUAAUUUUCAUUUCUCUUCUUCUUCCAUAACGCAACUAGGUUUUCUUCGAGAAAGAGAGAAAACAGCGAAAGCUUCGAUUUUCGUUCGAAGGUAAAAAUUCUAUCAAUCGAGAAAACAGAGACUAAACACCCGACAACCUCUUUAUCUCUUUCACAAUUCACGAACAAGGGGAAGACGGUGAUGGAAGUUGGUAGCGAUGGCGUUGCUGUCAUCACACUCAUCAAUCCUCCUGUCAAUUCUCUCUCUUUCGACGGUACUCCUCUCUGAUUUCAUCAGAUUUCUAGUACUAUACAACUUCAAGAGUAACUACGAGGAGGCUUUGAGCAGGAAUGAUGUUAAAGCUAUUGUUAAUUUUCUUUGAUUAAUUGAGAAUCGAACUAGUUUAUUGAACUGUUGUGGUGGGAAAUAUAAAUCAGGCGGCUGCAGAGCUGGCCAGGGAUCGGAUCGUAGUUGGAGUAUGUGAGCGACCACACCUUUAAGCAAGUAAGCGACUACACCUUUAAUCUUUUUCUUUGCUUAGAAUUGUAGCAGUUUCAUAAUUUUUUGUUUCCUAAGUCCCAUGAGAUUGAUUCUUAUAUUUAGCUAAGUUUAGUUGCUUUGAUUGAUUUCGACUUGGAGUGAUGUUGUUACUUAUGAGCAAAAUGCAAAAGAAGAACCUUUGAACAUCUUUCCUAAAAAGUCUGAAACUUUUUUGAUGAGUUGUUUCGAGGUAUAAACAUCUCUUGAAAGAUCUCAUUGUCCAGUGUUUGCUUAGAUUGAAAGAGAAAAUCUAAAUGAUAGGUUCAUGGACCUGAGCUCUGUUUUGGAGCCUGGCAGGACAUCGGGUUUCAUGCCUCCCCAGCAUCCAGCAGCUUUCCAUCCUAAUAAGAUGGCGGUCUACCCUAGUUACGGUUACUAUCCAAACAUGUCAAUGUGGCCAUUCGUCAAUCCUGCUGGCCGUGAUUCGUCUCAAGAUGUCAAAGAUCAUGCUCCUGUUGCUUAAUCUUCUUUCUGUUAGAUUCAUCAUUGAUCAUAGUUCAGAUGAUUCUUUAUCAGUAGUUUUGCAGUAAC